GGCAAGAUGGCCGAGCGGUUAAGGCGUGUGACUCAAGCGUAGCUUCUUGCCUGCAUUCGCGGGUUCUCAUCACCGUAUGGUGGCGUGGGUUCAAGUCCCACUCUUGUCA
rnacentral:tRNA from 1 species